GUAUCCUGGCUCCGGACGAACGCUGGCGGCGCGCCUAACACAUGCAAGUCGAACGAGAGAUGAGGAGCUUGCUCUUCAAAUCGAGUGGCGAACGGGUGAGUAACGCGUGAGGAACCUGCCUCAAAGAGGGGGACAACAGGUUGGAAACGACUGCUAAUACCGCAUAAGCCCACGGCUCGGGCAUCGAGGCAGAGGGAAAAGGAGUGAUCCGCUUUGAGAUGGCCUCGCGUCCGAUUAG
rnacentral:rRNA from 1 species